GUGAACGCUGGCGGUAGGCCUAACACAUGCAAGUCGAACGGCAGCACAGUAAGAGCUUGCUCUUACGGGUGGCGAGUGGCGGACGGGUGAGGAAUACAUCGGAAUCUACUUUUUCGUGGGGGAUAACGUAGGGAAACUUACGCUAAUACCGCAUACGACCUACGGGUGAAAGCAGGGGAUCUUCGGACCUUGCGCGAUUGAAUGAGCCGAUGUCGGAUUAGCUAGUUGGCGGGGUAAAGGCCCACCAAGGCGGCGAUCCGUAGCUGGUCUGAGAGGAUGAUCAGCCACACUGGAACUGAGACACGGUCCAGACUCCUACGGGAGGCAGCAGUGGGGAAUAUUGGACAAUGGGCGCAAGCCUGAUCCGGCCAUACCGCGUGGGUGAAGAAGGCCUUCGGGUUGUAAAGCCCUUUUGUUGGGAAAGAAAAGCAGCAGGUUAAUACCCCGCUGUUCUGACGGUACCCAAAGAAUAAGCACCGGCUAACUUCGUG
rnacentral:rRNA from 1 species